CGUAGGGUCCGAGCGUUGUCCGGAAUUAUUGGGCGUAAAGGGCUCGUAGGCGGUUCGUCACGUCGGGAGUGAAGACUCGGAGCUUAACUCCGAGCCUGCUUCCGAUACGGGCAGACUAGAGGUAGGCAGGGGAGAGCGGAACUCCUGGUGUAGCGGUGGAAUGCGCAGAUAUCAGGAAGAACACCGGUGGCGAAGGCGGCUCUCUGGGCCUUACCUGACGCUGAGGAGCGAAAGCGUGGGUAGCGAACAGGAUUAGAUACCCUGGUAGUCCACGCCGUAAACGUUGGGCGCUAGGUGUGGGGGACAUUCCACGUCCUCCGUGCCGCAGCUAACGCAUUAAGCGCCCCGCCUGGGGAGUACGGCCGCAAGGCUA
rnacentral:rRNA from 1 species